rnacentral:misc_RNA from 1 species
GAUGAGAACGCAGCGAAAUGCGAUAAGUAGUGUGAAUUGCAGAAUUCAGUGAAUCAUCGAAUCUUUGAACGCACAUUGCGCCCCUUGGUAUUCCAUGGGGCAUGCCUGUUCGAGCGUCAUUUGUACCCUCAAGCUUUGCUUGGUGUUGGGUGUUUGUCCUCUCCUUUGCGUUUGGACUCGCCUUAAAGCAAUUGGCAGCCAGUGUUUUGGUAUUGAAGCGCAGCACAUUUUGCGAUUCUAGCCGAUAAUACUUGCGUCCAUAAGCCUUUUUUAACUUUUGACCUCGGAUCAGGUAGGGAUACCCGCUGAACUUAAGCAUAUCAAUAAGCGGAGGA